rnacentral:rRNA from 1 species
ACGAAGGGGGCUAGCGUUGCUCGGAAUGACUGGGCGUAAAGGGCGCGUAGGCGGUUUGAUUAGUUAGGCGUGAAAUUCCCGGGCUCAACCUGGGAACUGCGUUUAAUACAGUCAGACUUGAGUUCGGAAGAGGGUCGUGGAAUUCCCAGUGUAGAGGUGAAAUUCGUAGAUAUUGGGAAGAACACCGGUGGCGAAGGCGGCGACCUGGUCCGAUACUGACGCUGAGGCGCGAAAGCGUGGGGAGCAAACAGGAUUAGAUACCCUGGUAGUCCACGCUGUAAACGAUGUGUGCUGGAUGUUGGGUGACCUAGUCACUCAGUGUCGUAGCUAACGCGAUAAGCACACCGCCUGGGGAGUACGGCCGCAAGGUUG